GGGCAAAACGGGGUUACAGGAAGGUGAAGAGUAGACAGAGACUUCCUUUUCCAACAGUAUUGGCAGAGUAAAUAUCCUGAAAAUCUAUCCUGCUACAAAGCACCUAAAAGUAGUAGAUACAAAAUGAAAAACACAUUUAAAUGCAUGCCUGUGUUGGAAAGAGUAAGGGAAACCAUUGGAGUUAUCAGAGGCUAAAUGUUCUGGGAAGGACCAAUUCAGAGAAUUGUAAGCAGUGAAAUCAUCUAUGAAUUCCAGGGGCCUGGGGCUUCAGUUGUGACACAGAUCAACUCAGGAGCUUCUAAAAUAUAUAUUUCAGAAAUAAGGAAAAUGCUUUCAGAAAAACUGAGUUCAAGAAGAAAGGGUGAGCGAAAAUAAAGUGGUAAAUGUCACAAUGAUGCAAGAGGUGGGUUCCGACGGCCUUGGGCAGCUCCGCCCCUAUGGAUUUGCAAGCUCCUGGAAAGAAGUCUAUGGAUUAUACUCAACCUACACUCCAGUUAAAGGAACAUCUACACACAGAGGAAAUGAAUAACAUGAAGUGAAGUCUUCAUCUCCAUUCCCAACAGUCCCCAUUCUACUUGCAGAAAGGUUGCUUACACUGAAAAUCAGUUUAUUUUCCCCUGGUGCAAAGAACAGUCGUUUCUCCAAAACUGAAGCUGGAAAUUAUCUGAAAUAUCAGGUCCUCCGGAAAAGGGACGUGAAGCCCCCUUUGUAAUUUCUGCAUUAGCGUGCUCUCCUGGCAAGCAGGAAACCUCAUCAGAGAAGUCAGCCAAGGAAAGUCUUUAAAUGGAAAUUGUGCAAACGAGGAGCAAAUGCAUUAAAAAGUUGCUGACGGGCAUGAAAUGCUUUGAUGUGAAGACGGAAAACUCCAAGCAGGAAGGAUUUUAACAUUUUGAAUCUGAUUGACUCUGUGGUUUCUCAGCACAGUUAUUCCAUGGGCUAAAAUAAAUGCAGAAAUGGUACUUUCAGACCACA
ensembl:lncRNA LINC02888 long intergenic non-protein coding RNA 2888